ensembl:snRNA U11 spliceosomal RNA
AAAAAGGGCUUCUGCCAUGCCUGGCACUGGGAGGGUGGGGAAAUCCACUCCUCCAGCGGAAUCGCCAUCAAGAGAUUUCGGAAGCAUAAUUUUUAACACAGGGGCUGCCAGUGGUCGCUCACCCUGGCGCCCCG